rnacentral:ribozyme from 14 species
CAUCCUGCAAACAUUGCAGAGAGGAGAAAAACAAAGGUGAAACGGACUAAGAGAAAUCCAUUCUUUGUUUGUUUUCUUAAUGUGCUGCUUCCUCUGAUCAUAUCUUCGUCUGUGAUCUUUUCAGUUUGGAGGUGUAACUUCUCACCCAAAUACCCAUAUGAAGCGAGGUGAAAUAGAAUGUUGUCAAACUCCGAAACAACCAUCAGCGAAGUAAAGUCCUUCAGAAGAUCAAUUGUUUCUUUG